rnacentral:rRNA from 1 species
GAUGAACGCUAGCGGCAGGCUUAAUACAUGCAAGUCGUGGGGCAGCAGGUUUGUAGCAAUACAGAUGCUGGCGACCGGCAAACGGGUGCGGAACACGUACAGAACCUUCCUUUGAGCGGGGAAUAGCCCAGAGAAAUUUGGAUUAAUACCCCAUAGUAUAAUGAAGUGGCAUCACUUUAUUAUUAAAGAUUUAUCACUCGAAGAUGGCUGUGCGGCUGAUUAGGUAGUUGGCGGGGUAAAGGCCCACCAAGCCUGCGAUCAGUAACUGGUGUGAGAGCACGACCAGUCACACGGGCACUGAGACACGGGCCCGACUCCUACGGGAGGCAGCAGUAAGGAAUAUUGGUCAAUGGAGGCAACUCUGAACCAGCCAUGCCGCGUGGAGGAUGAAGGUCCUCUGGAUUGUAAACUUCUUUAUAUGGGACGAAAAAAGGCUUUUCUAAGUCGUCUGACGGUACCAUAUGAAUAAGCACCGGCUAACUCCGUGCCAGCAGCCGACGG